AAAAACAAAGAGGGUUUGUUUGAAAAAUGUGAAAGAAUAGCAAAAUCAUGUGGAAGGGUUACAGACAAAGAUUUGUCCCUUGGAUAAUGUUAAAUCUAAGUAAAAGGGCAAGAAGAAUUGUAAAUCCUGGAAAUGACAAGAUUAUAGAAGACAAACGUGUUUUAGCAACGCUGCUAAACCUGCUCCCACAUUUGUAUAAUAAACAUUCAAAUGUUGGUCCAUGUGUGGCAUCGAAAAACAUGGAGGUACGUAGUGCCGACUUAUGACUGGAGUACGCAAGCAUCCACAUUUCCAAAAAGUCAUAAAAUUAAGCCUGUGAAGGAACAAUGAUGGAAUUGACUGUAGGGAAAAAUGAUAGUCCGUUCGAGAAAACUUACCAUACUCUGAAAACACCAGCCAAAUUUCCCACUUUGGAAAUCCUAUACUGACCAGCCAUGGAUGAAUCAGAAUCAUAAGCCAUCUUAAUAGGAGGUACAAUAUAUAAAUUUAUGGAGCCUAUAUUUUUCCCAUCCUUGGGAAAUAAGUUUGUUUUUCGAUGCCUUGAUAGAUUACACAUUGAUGGCAAUGAUAGGGGCUUAUCGAAGAUUAUUUACAAAUCGUGUGUUGGGCGUGACUCUGCAUGGCCGUACGAAGCUGCAGAUACCACCUGGCUGACGGGUGCCGCUGUUGUGCCCUGGAACAUUGGCCAGUACGUCAACAAUCAAACAACAGGUUCUGAUGCUAAUGUAGCAUACCAGGAGCUGAAUAUUUCUUUGCGUGACGUGCCACCGGCAUUGCAUUGUUUCCUGCCCAACAUUUGGUACAGUGGCGGUGCGGAAGGAAGUCUACGCCUAAUAGCACUCGUUUCUACCAGAAAUAUUUCAAAAGGGGAGGAAGUGUUGUCCAACUACUACACGCUUGUCGCUGAUACAAAGAGCUGAUGUUCUGCUGUAAAAAAUUUUGUAAAUAAAUAGAGUAUCUUUUGUUUUACUA